AUGGCCGCCGCCGCGUCCUACUUCUCCGGCACGGCGCUGAUGCCGUCGCAGCGCGCGGGGGCGCCCGACUACUCCGCCGCCGGUGCGGCCACCCCUUCCCCCUCCAAGGCGCGCAACUCCCGCUACUCCGGCUGCGUCCCCGCCACCGUCCUCCACAUCUCCCGCUCCCUCGCCGCCGCCGCGGCGAACCACGGCGGUGGCGGUGGCGACCCCGUCUUCUCCAUCGACGGCGUCGAGACCAGCAACGUUAGGGUUUUGGGGAGGGUUGUGAGCAUGUCGAGCAGGGAGACCGACGUGUCGUUCACGCUCGACGACGGCACCGGGAAGAUCAAUCUCGUGCGGUGGAUCAAUGACGAGACAGAUGCUCGAGAAGCGGCUUUCAUCCAGCAUGGAGUGUACGUCAGGGUUCAUGUGAACAUCAUGGGGUUUCAAGCUCAGAAGCAUGGAUUUGCUCGAUCUAUCCGCCCAGUUACCAAUUUCAAUGAAGUGGUGCUGCAUUUCAUCGAAUGCAUGCACGUGCACAUGGAAAAUACUCAGACGAAGAUGCAAGGGCAACUCCCUCCAGCAGUUCAAACAAACGCUUAUACUCAUGUGCCUUAUUCUGGUGGAAUGAGAGAACAGCAAGUCCAUUUUACUCCUCAAGUAAACCAACGGCAACUCCCACCUGCAGUUCGAACAAAUGCGUCUACUUAUGGGCCUUUUACUGGUGGUGCGAGAGAACAUCAAGUUCAUUUUACUCCUCAAGUAAAUCAUGGACAAUUUCCUCCUCCCAGAGUUCAAACUAAUACAUCUACUCAUGGUCCUUUCUCCGGCGGAGUGAGAGACCAUCAAGUUCAGCUUGCUCCUCGACCUCAAAUAAACCAAUUUGCAGCUUACUCAGGCACUGGUGGACAACAGUAUGAUCUGCAAAGAAUGGUUUUGGAAGUUCUGCAAGCACCUGAUAUCCUACCCCUUGAAAAUGGCGUACAUGUUGAUGAAGUGGCUAGAAGAACUGGAGCGCCAAAAACAAACAUCAUGGAGGUUAUCAACUUACUUGCUGAUACAGGGUUCGUCUGUUGGACCAUUGAUGACUAUCAUGUCAAGUCUGUGUGUAAUGGUUGA
rnacentral:rRNA from 1 species